GUUUGGAAGAAGCAUCAGAUCUAGCUGACGCUGCCACGGAAUUUGACCUUUUCGACUAGAUUAGACUUGCAGACAAAUUGGAAAUGGACCAACCAGGUACUCCGGUUAAACGUCCAUCCAAAAGAAGUUUCCCUGACAUGACUGAGUUUCAUGCAAGACUAGAAAUGCAAAUGGCACUAAAUGGAGUAACCGUAGAUGGUGUUUCGCCAAAGAGACUAAAGGUGGACCUAGAUCUGGAGGGAUUACCCAUUAAUCCUAUCUAUCGUAAAAUUGCUUUGGAGAAGUUCCCAUGCCCUUACUGCUUCAUUUUGCCACCAGAGGGCAUGGAGAAGCAUUUGAAGCAGUAUCACAAGGUCGAAAAAGUACUAAAGUGCAACCGGAUUGGAUGUGGAGCCAUCUACUUCACAACUGAAUCAGAAAAGAUGCGUCAUGACACCAAAUUUCACUUAUAGUUUGAGUUUUUUUUAACAUUUCUUUUCAAUCGAGGAAAGAAAUAUGGAAGAUUUAAAAGCAUCAUCUACGAUACUCAUCGAUAGAAAUUAAAUUAGCCGCUGCAAACAUUUUCAAUCACCCUCAGCUAGAAUUAACCUAGAAAUUAGGAAUAUAUCCUGUUAAUUGAUUUAUUCAGAAAUAAAGUUAAGAUGCAACUCCGGAAGGUUUUUUAGUAAGAAAACCGAGGAUUUUAUCAAGUCUCAUUAGCAAUUUUAAGUAAUGAAAUAAAUCUGUCUUUCUAUACACUAUUUCCAAUUGUUUUCAUUCCCGAAAAGAGUUGUAAAUCUAUAAAAUGAAUCGUUUCUGAGGGAAUA